AAUGCAGUGUAACACAGCAUUUUUUGGUGAUUGUCCUGCUUGUUUGCUGUGAUCUACAAAUGAAGGUUAUCAGGUCAUAUAAAGAAUAGCUGGGCCACUGGGUCAAAUUCUGGCAAAUAUUUGACAUCUGGUGGCAGUAAAGUCAUGCUCUUAUACUCUGAAUCUGCUUCAGUCUGUUACGCAAGAUCGAGAAUACAGUUACACCACUUUUUUUCUUUCUCUCUCUCUCUCUCUCGUCUCCUAUGGUCGUAGCUAUUGAUUGGUUGAAUAUGCGAGAGCAGGAGAACAGCUGGUUCACGUUGUGCUCUGGCGUCAGGCCUACUCUCCUAGGAUUGCGUACGUGGGUGUAAAUCUUGGAGGAGAUGUACUUUCUUAGUCUUGUAUGACCCAGCCAGGGUGGUUAGUCGGGCCUGGAGCUCUACGUCCAGCAGCCCGAGACUGAAAACAGAUGGGGUGAAGAACUGGGAUUCAGUCUCUGUUUGCAGGAUGCAUAGCGAUGAGGUAAUGUAUCUAUUUGUGGCUAUGUAAGAUUGAUAAUUGUAAUAUGAUGCUACUUUGCAAACUUUGUUUUAGUACCAUUCAUACACCUAGGUUAUAUAUAAGCCUACAACUAACAGAUUCAGUUGCACAGUCAUAGUACUUUUGUUGUGAAAGCUGAAGUUAUCAACAUUCCCUUGUAAUGUUAUGUCUGAAAGAAUGGACACCAGAAAAUCUGCAAUGAAGGCUAAAUCAUCAGCCGUCACUUCUGACCAGAAAGGUCGGCCCCUGGAGAGGGUCAUGUUGAGGCUUCCAGGACUAAUGUUUGACUUACUCAACUUCUUUGAGCCUGACCCAAACCCUAAGACUCCAAACCAAGUACAACCGCAAUGGUACACUUGCACUAACUGCAGGGAAAUGCCGUCUGACUAGGACCAUAAAUGCGAGACACAGAGGCCAGAGAACUGCAGGUCAGCAGGUCAGCAUAUGUGGCUUUGGAGACCAGGAGCCAGGCAUGGAGAAUCAUCAGUACAGGCACACAGCUUACAGUUCUUAUUCUAUUUUAGCUUAUUUUUAUAUCCAAAUUAACACUUUUUUAUAUUGUCCUGUGAUGCUUUUACAUUCUGUCUUGAUGCCUUUUAUGUAAAGCACUUUGAAUUGCGUUGUUGUUGAAAUGUGCUAUACAAAUAAACUUGCCUUGCCUUGCCUUACAGACAAUAUGUAUUGUGGCAUUAUCGUCGUCUAGGCAACAGAGUGACGAUCCCCAGCUGUACUGUUUAGAGAAUCAGGGACACAUUGCCAGACGCUCAGGGCCACUACACAGGGUUCAUACCUUGUUUGCUAAUUUAAAUUGUCCAAACGAAAAGGACAAAACAAGUUGAGCCAAUGCUGCCUUUCUGCACUGCAUAUCCCUAUGCUCAUACAAUACCUUGCACACUGAUUUAUUUAUUACCAUUUCUUUGCUGUUUUUUUUUUUUAUUAAUAUUUUUUGUUACCUGCACAAAGUCA